AACGAACGCUGGCGGCAUGCCUAACACAUGCAAGUCGAACGAGAUCUUCGGGUCUAGUGGCGCACGGGUGCGUAACGCGUGGGAAUCUGCCCUUUGGUUCGGAAUAACAGCUGGAAACGACUGCUAAUACCGGAUGAUGACGAAAGGCCAUAGAUUUAUCGCCAGAGGAUGAGCCCGCGUAGGAUUAGCUAGUUGGUGUGGUAAAGGCGCACCAAGGCGACGAUCCUUAGCUGGUCUGAGAGGAUGAUCAGCCACACUGGGACUGAGACACGGCCCAGACUCCUACGGGAGGCAGCAGUGGGGAAUAUUGGACAAUGGGCGAAAGCCUGAUCCAGCAAUGCCGCGUGAGUGAUGAAGGCCUUAGGGUUGUAAAGCUCUUUUACCCGGGAUGAUAAUGACGGUACCGGGAGAAUAAGCUCCGGCUAACUCCGUGCCAGCCGCCGCCGUAA
rnacentral:rRNA from 1 species